UUAGUGACAAAAUGAAGAAGCUUAUUACCAAAUGUGACUUCAAGACACUAGACUGUACCUUAGAACGAGUGAAGGUUAGAAUAUUAUUUAUAUUGGAUAGCUCUAUCAGCACUUGUUUUUCUUAGAGGUCCAGUAAGGGACCCGUCACAGACUCUGGCUACGCCCAUGAUUUUGACGUUACCGCUGCAAUGCCGUCGCCAUGUUCCUAGCCAGUGCGCUUACGAUAGGCAUUCACCCCCCCCCCCCUGAAAAUAUUUAAAAUGGUGGACGUCCAGGGGGUGCAUACCUCUUUUGUAGAAGGAAAUUUCAAGCGAAAAUUUACAUGCUUUUAGACCCAACCGGAAGCCCCAACACGAUUUUAGACCCAACCGGAAGCCCCUGCGAAAAAUGAAACCAUAAAGACCCCCCUCGGCAGGAAUCGAACUUGUUACCCCGCGAUUCCGGGGUAGCGCUCUGACCACACUGAGUUAUACGCCUGUAUUCUAAAAGCUCACUCACACUCAAAGAGUGGAGGUUCAAUCUGAACUUCCCUUGAGUGUCAGUGCUGUUUUUGAAUAGCUGGUGGGUUAGGCCAAAAAAAAAUAUGUGGGUUUCCGGUUUCUUCUUAUAAAAACUUAGGUAGGGUAGGUCGGUUUUAACUUUUUUUUUAAACUUUUUUUUAAAUUAAUUUUCCGAACAAGCGGACGCCAUUUUGUUUAGUCAGUGCUUCCAGCCUUCCACAUCCAAAGAUAAAUUUCCCUAAUAUUGCCUCAAAUUUCAAUUUUCCACAAACUUUUUCCUCUAAGUGGAAACACUUACAAGCAUGAUCCAAUAAAAAAGUUUAGGGUCGGGAUUUCGACGUCCAAAAGCUAGGUAGGGUCGGGAAACCGGAAACCCACAUAUUUCUUUUUUGGCCUUAGAGUCGUUCCUUACUAUGCGACUACUCACCCUCCAGCUAUUUAAAAACAGUACUGACGGUUAAGGGAAGCUCAGAUUGAACCUCCACUCUUUGAGUGCGAGUGUGGUUUUAGCAUACAGGCGAUACAGCCCAAUUUGAGACAGUUCAGACACGACAGUUUGUUGUAGAAUACUACCACCUACACUGGACCACCACGUUUGUUUGUUUUUCAGAUGUUAUUUGAAUGCUAUGCGAAUCAAGACACAAUGCGAAUUUCUCGAACAGAUCUAUGGAUAGGUUUAGCCGCCGGCGGCUUGAGGUCUGCAGAAGCGACAAUCGACGAUUAUUUCUCGGACAAAAACAGUUUUGAUUUCCUAGAUUUUUUGACCUAUCUGCCACUAUUUCAGGAAAUUCAUGGAUAUGUUGUCGAAAAUCCGCUCACUUUGUUUUAAAAGGCAGGUGAAAUGAUUAAAAUAGCUGCUAUUUAUUGUUUACAUGUGGUAUAUAACGUAUAUUUAUGUCGAAAUAUUUUUCAGAUCAUUCCGGAAUACGUCACAACUACACUGUUUUCAACUUAGGACCACCUUAAAUGGAAAGGAUUUCAAGUUUUUUUCUCAUGGGCUUUGCACAGAGAAGCAGAACAUCCUUCUUCAACACAUGCGAGAAAAAAGUUUGGAUUUUGAUCAAUAAAUGUGGAAAUAAGUUUUAACACGAAAACGAGG